rnacentral:rRNA from 1 species
UGGGGAAUUUUGCACAAUGGGGGAAACCCUGAUGCAGCGACGCCGCGUGAUUUAGAAGGCCUUCGGGUUGUAAAAAUCUUUUUUAUGGGAUGAAAAUGACAGUACCAUAAGAAUAAGGUCCGGCUAAAUACGUGCCAGCAGCCGCGGUAAUACGUAUGGACCGAGCGUUGUCCGGAAUCAUUGGGCGUAAAGGGUACGUAGGCGGCCCAGUAAGUUAGAAGUGAAAUAAUAUAGCUCAACUAUAUAAAGCUUUUAAAACUGCUAGGCUUGAGAGAUGGAAGGGAAAGUGGAAUUCCUAGUGUAGCGGUGAAAUGCGCAGAUAUUAGGAAGAAUACCGGUGGCGAAGGCGACUUUCUGGUCAUCAUCUGACGCUGGGGUACGAAGGCGUGGGUAGCAAACAGG